rnacentral:rRNA from 1 species
AACGAACGCUGGCGGCAGGCCUAACACAUGCAAGUCGAGCGCCCCGCAAGGGGAGCGGCGGACGGGUGAGUAACACGUGGGAAUUUUCCUCAAGGUACGGAACAACUCAGGGAAACUUGGGCUAAUACCGUAUGAUGCAGAGAUGCCAAAGACUUAUCGCCUUGGGAUAAGCCCGCGUCAGAUUAGGUAGUUGGUGGGGUAAUGGCCUACCAAGCCUGUGAUCUGUAGCUGGUCUGAGAGGACGAUCAGCCACAUUGGGACUGAGACACGGCCCAAACUCCUACGGGAGGCAGCAGUGGGGAAUCUUGCGCAAUGGGCGAAAGCCUGACGCAGCCAUGCCGCGUGAAUGAUGAAGGUCUUAGGAUUGUAAAGUUCUUUAGCCUGUGACGAUGAUGACGGUAACAGGAGAAUAAGCCCCGGCUAACUUCGUGCCAGCAGCCGCGGU